UACAGAGGUCUCAAGCGUUGUUCGGAUUCAUUGGGCGUAAAGGGUGCGUAGGCGGCGCGUAAGUCGGGUGUGAAAUCUCGGAGCUUAACUCCGAAACUGCAUUCGAUACUGCCGUGCUUGAGGACUGGAGAGGAGACUGGAAUUUACGGUGUAGCGGUGAAAUGCGUAGAUAUCGUAAGGAAGACCAGUGGCGAAGGCGGGUCUCUGGACAGUUCCUGACGCUGAGGCACGAAGGUCAGGGGGAGCAAACGGG
rnacentral:rRNA from 1 species